rnacentral:rRNA from 1 species
GACGAACGCUGGCGGCGUGCUUAACACAUGCAAGUCGAACGGAAAGGCCCUGCUUUUGUGGGGUGCUCGAGUGGCGAACGGGUGAGUAACACGUGAGUAACCUGCCCUUGACUUUGGGAUAACUUCAGGAAACUGGGGCUAAUACCGGAUAGGAGCUCCUGCUGCAUGGUGGGGGUUGGAAAGUUUCGGCGGUUGGGGAUGGACUCGCGGCUUAUCAGCUUGUUGGUGGGGUAGUGGCUUACCAAGGCUUUGACGGGUAGCCGGCCUGAGAGGGUGACCGGGCCAAAUGGGACUGGGAUACGGCCCAGACCCCCACGGGAGGGAGCAGUGGGGAAUAUUGGACAAGGGGGGGGAGCCCUGUGGAGGAAAGCCGCGGGGGGGGAGGAGGGCCUUGGGGUGUAAACCCCUUUUCCCCGGGAAGGAGCGGGAGGGACGGGAAUGGGUAAAGAAGCACCGGCUAAACACGUG